GGUAGGAUUUGCUGAAGGAGGCAGAGGCGGAUUUCUGAGUUCGAGGCCAGCCUGGUCUACAAAGUGAGUUCCAGGACAGCCAGAGCUAUACAGAGAAACCCUGUCUCGGAAAACCAAAAAAAAAAAAAAGUGUGUCACCACACAUGGCCAUAUAUUUGUUUUUAAAUAAGUAGUAAUGGUCAAAAUUUUCUUUUUAAAUGUUUGUAGUUUAUUUAGAUCAUCAUAUACAGAACAUUUGAAAAGCAUAGAUACAGGCUCCUCUUAUCCCAAGGGAGGGCAGUUGUCCAGGAAGAGGAUGUACCCUGGAGUGGGAAGAAUAAUCACCUCUUGAAGAUUUCCUUUGUUCUCAAUUGAAAGUUAUUUUCAAUUAUGUAUAUGGGUAUUUCUGUGUACAGGCAUAUACAUGGGAGUAUAGAUGCACUCAGAGGUGAGAGGCGUCAGAUCCCCUGGAGCUGGAGUUACAGGUGGUUGUGAGCCACCUGAUGUGGGUGCUGGGAAAUGAACUCUCCAUAAUGUGAUCGCUGAGCCACCUCUCCAGCAAGGCUUAAUCACCUCUUUUUUUUUUUUUCAAAGAUUUAUCUAUUUUAUUUCUAUGCGUAUACUGUAGCUAUCUUCAGAGGGCAUCGGAUCCCAUUACAGAUGGUUGUGAGCCACCAUGUGGUUGCUGGGAAUUGAACUCAGGACCUCCUUAAGAGCAGUCUGUGCUCUUAACCACUGAGCCAUCUCUCCAGCCCCGUACUGCAUGUAUAUCUGUGUGUGGUGUCAGAUCCCCUGGACCAGGAGUUACAGGCAAUUGUGAGCUGCCAUGUAAGUCCUGGGAAUUGAACCUGGGUCCAGUCACCGCUGAGCGAUCUCUCCAGCCCCAAAAUAUGAAUAUGAUAAAGAUAACGAAAUCAAAUUUUGAAUCUGUUUGUUGGAAUUGUUUUUCAUAGUCCACUUUAUGAAAGGGAAACAACAUAAAGAUCUUUAGUAAACAUAUCCUUAGGUCAUGCAGAAACAAAAGCAGAUACAUGUAGAACAAAAGAGUAUUGGAGGGGAGAAGGAACAUUCUAUCUCAGAGGAAUCCAGGCCUGGAGAUGCCAGCAUUGAGACCCAGCGGUGCCUGCCUGCCAUAGCAGCUCCACGCUGCGAGCAACUUUUCCCAUGGGUCUCUGUUGGGAUCUGUGCUUUACACAGGUUUAGCGCUGAGUCUCCACAGACCUCGAGUGUUGGCUCCCUUUGUUAGUGUGCCAGUGUUGGAGGAAUGUGACUGGGGAACUUAGGUCCUUAGCAUGCAGUAAGUGUGCCGUGUGCUUACUGUUCCAUUGCUGUGAGGAGACACCAUGACCAUGGGAAGUCUUAUUGAAAGAAAGCUUUUCAUGGCUUGCUUACACUUUCAGAGGGUCAGCCCAUUAUCAACCUGGCACCAACCAUGGCACUAGAACAGCAGCUGAAAGCUACCUCCUGAUCUGCAAAGGAGGUGGCGGGAGGUUGGCACACAGGACUAGGUUUUCAAACCUCAGAGCUCACCCCAGUGACACAUUUCCUCCAACAAGGCCCCACUUAUGAGCCUAUGAGCUCUUACCCAAACUACCAUACUACCAUAGUAUACUCCCCUGCCUCCAUAGGCUUGUAGCCAUAUCAUAAUGC
rnacentral:lncRNA from 1 species